rnacentral:lncRNA from 1 species
GAUCGAGAAGCGUUGAGCGGUUGGUUGAUCGGGAGCGUUGAGCGGUUGAUCGGGAGCGUUGAGCGGUUAAUCGAGAGUGAGAGGUCAGAGUUAGUCGAGAAGCCGAAGAGUAGAGUUGAGACUUGCAUUGACUCAUUGGUCGACGUUCCAACUUAAGCACACAGAGCAGAAUUACGCUAUAUAAGACCAUAA